rnacentral:rRNA from 1 species
UGGGGAAUAUUGGACAAUGGGCGCAAGCCUGAUCCAGCCAUGCCGCGUGAGUGACGAAGGUCUUCGGAUUGUAAAGCUCUUUUUGCCAGGGACGAUAAUGACGGUACCUGGAGAAUAAGCCCCGGCUAACUUCGUGCCAGCAGCCGCGGUAAUACGAAGGGGGCUAGCGUUGUUCGGAAUUACUGGGCGUAAAGCGCACGUAGGCGGAUUUGUUAGUCAGGGGUGAAAUCCCGGGGCUCAACCUCGGAACUGCCUUUGAUACUGCAAGUCUCGAGUCCGAUAGAGGUGAGUGGAAUUCCUAGUGUAGAGGUGAAAUUCGUAGAUAUUGGGAAGAACACCAGUGGCGAAGGCGGCUACCUGGACCGGUACUGACGCUGAUGCGCGAAAGCGUGGGGAGCAAACAGGAUUAGAUACCCUCGUAGUCCCUGAGCGGGCUGGCAAGGCGCAU